ACGUACAGAACCUUCCUUUGAGCGGGGAAUAGCCCAGAGAAAUUUGGAUUAAUACCCCAUAGUAUAAUGAAGUGGCAUCACUUUAUUAUUAAAGAUUUAUCACUCGAAGAUGGCUGUGCGGCUGAUUAGGUAGUUGGCGGGGUAAAGGCCCACCAAGCCUGCGAUCAGUAACUGGUGUGAGAGCACGACCAGUCACACGGGCACUGAGACACGGGCCCGACUCCUACGGGAGGCAGCAGUAAGGAAUAUUGGUCAAUGGAGGCAACUCUGAACCAGCCAUGCCGCGUGGAGGAUGAAGGUCCUCUGGAUUGUAAACUUCUUUUAUAUGGGACGAAAAAAGGCUUUUCUAAGUCGUCUGACGGUACCAUAUGAAUAAGCACCGGCUAACUCCGUG
rnacentral:rRNA from 1 species